UACGUAGGGUGCAAGCGUUAAUCGGAAUUACUGGGCGUAAAGCGUGCGCAGGCGGUUAUGUAAGACAGUUGUGAAAUCCCCGGGCUCAACCUGGGAAUUGCAUUUGUGACUGCACGGCUAGAGUGUGUCAGAGGGGGGUAGAAUUCCACGUGUAGCAGUGAAAUGCGUAGAGAUGUGGAGGAAUACCGAUGGCGAAGGCAGCCCCCCUGGGAUAACACUGACGCUCAUGCACGAAAGCGUGGGGAGCAAACAGG
rnacentral:rRNA from 1 species